AAUACUUGUAGCUUUGAGUUUUUAUUUGUAACGUUUGAUCAUUUGUCUUAUUUAAAACAUUAUGAAAAUAUUAUUUAUUUUGUUUGUAACUUGCUUUAUUAUCAAAAGUACUCUAAGUACAACUCCUAUUUUCUAUAUAUGUAUUAAUUUUUCAAAUAAGGCGAAUGGUCAAACGUUGCAAGCAAAAAGUCAAAGCGGCUACUAAU
rfam:Oryza glumipatula chromosome 1, whole genome shotgun sequence.